AUCCCUUAUUUGCCAGCGGGUUAUGCCGGGAACUCUAGGACACUGCCGGUGAUAAACCGGAGGAAGGUGGGGACGACGUCAAGUCAUCAUGGCCCUUACGGGAUGGGCUACACACGUGCUACAAUGGCAAAUACAAAGGGCUGCUAACCAGCGAUGGUAUGCGAAUCUCCUAAAGUUUGUCGUAGUCCGGAUCGGAGUCUGCAACUCGACUCCGUGAAGUUGGAAUCGCUAGUAAUCGUGGAUCAGAAUGCCACGGUGAAUACGUUC
rnacentral:rRNA from 1 species